UCUUUGCAUUGCUGAGGAGGACAGUCCUGCCAACAUAACAGUUUGUUCAAUAACAGGAGACAAACAGAAACACAGAGGUGCUAUACAUUCCGAUGGAAAAGACAACAAAAGCAUCUCCCAUCAUUUUGGCGUGGCUCAGAUCAAGAGGAGAAUUUUAAGAAAGGUGAUGGUUGGGCACACACAAGAAGACAUAGAUCACAUGUGUCCAGGCAUAUGUGUGUAGACAGGAGUUUCACACUCUGCUAAACUAACUUCAUCAGAGGAGCAGAAAGCUUCUCAAGAUCCCGCACUGUACACUUAGAUAUAGUCUUUGACUACAACAAGGGGAUGAAAGUACAGAGAGGUCCAAUUGAAAUCAAUUCUGUGCUGCGUCAUUUCUUCAUUCUGGAAGUCGAUGGACAUGAUUUAUCAUGGCAUCAGGUGUGCAGUUUGUCGACUAUCAGCAGUCUUGUUCACCAGUUGUGCAACUUGA